rnacentral:rRNA from 1 species
GAUGAACGCUGGCGGCGUGCCUAAUACAUGCAAGUCGAGCGAACAGACGAGGAGCUUGCUCUUCUGACGUUAGCGGCGGACGGGUGAGUAACACGUGGAUAACCUACCUAUAAGACUGGGAUAACUUCGGGAAACCGGAGCUAAUACCGGAUAAUAUAUUGAACCGCAUGGUUCAAUAGUGAAAGACGGUUUUGCUGUCCCUUAUAGAUGGAUCCGCGCCGCAUUAGCUAGUUGGUAAGGUAACGGCUUACCAAGGCAACGAUGCGUAGCCGACCUGAGAGGGUGAUCGGCCACACUGGAACUGAGACACGGUCCAGACUCCUACGGGAGGCAGCAGUAGGGAAUCUUCCGCAAUGGGCGAAAGCUUGACGGAGCAACGCCGCGUGAGUGAUGAAGGUCUUCGGAUCGUAAAACUCUGUUAUUAGGGAAGAACAAAUGUGUAAGUAACUAUGCACGUCUUGACGGUACCUAAUCAGAAAGCCACGGCUAACUACGUG